UGUGGGUUUAUAAAGACAGAAGCUUGGAGAGACUGAAAAACAAAAGAUUUUGGGAGAGAGAAAAAAAAUCAAAGCAGUGUCAUUCAAAACUUCUUCUCUCGCAAUUUCUUCUUUCUGGGUCUCUCUUUUUCACACUCAGAUUCCUCCCUCUUUUUCACCUGCAAAAACCCUUGUCUCCCCGUUGUUUCGUUUCUUCUUCGGUUCAGGAACCGAAACGGGUCAAAUAAUUUGCUGAAUCGUCGAUUCUCAGGGUUUUGUUAUGGAGGAAGAAUCCUCAUCAGAAAUGCCAGAAGGAGAGAUUGUUGGAAUCACCUUUGCUCUUGCAAGUCACCAUGAAAUUAAAUAAAACAAUACAAUUAAUUGAUCUUUUUGCGCAAAA